rnacentral:rRNA from 1 species
AACGAACGCUGGCGGCAUGCCUAACACAUGCAAGUCGAACGAGACCUUCGAGUCUAGUGGCGCACGGGUGCGUAACGCGUGGGAACCUGCCCUUAGGUUCGGAAUAACUCCCCGAAAGGGGUGCUAAUACCGGAUAAUGUCUUCGGACCAAAGAUUUAUCGCCUUUGGAUGGGCCCGCGUUGGAUUAGCUAGUUGGUAGGGUAAAAGCCUACCAAGGCGACGAUCCAUAGCUGGUCUGAGAGGAUGAUCAGCCACACUGGGACUGAGGCACGGCCCAGACUCCUACGGGAGGCAGCAGUGGGGAAUAUUGGACAAUGGGCGAAAGCCUGAUCCAGCAAUGCCGCGUGAGUGAUGAAGGCCUUAGGGUUGUAAAGCUCUUUUACCCGGGAUGAUAAUGACAGUACCGGGAGAAUAAGCUCCGGCUAACUCCGUG